rnacentral:rRNA from 1 species
AGUUGCGAAGGCGGCUCUCUGGACUGUAACUGACGCUGAGGCACGAAAGCGUGGGGAGCAAACAGGAUUAGAUACCCUGGUAGUCCACGCUGUAAACGAUGAGUACUAGGUGUCGGGGGUUACCCCGCUCGGUGCCGCAGCUAACGCAUUAAGUACUCCGCCUGGGCAGUACGCUCGCAAGAGUGAAACUCAAAGUAAUUGACGGGGACCCGCACACGUAGCGCAGCAUGUGGUUUAAUACGAAGCAACGCGAAGAACCUUACCUAAGCUUGACACCCCAAUGACAUCUCCUUAAACGGAGAGUUCCCUUCGGGGACAUUGGGGACAGGUGGUGCAUGGUUGUCGUCAGCUCGUGUCGUGAGAUGUUGGGUUAAGUCCCGCAACGAGCGCAACCCUUGUCUUUAGUUGCCAUCAUUAAGUUGGGCAC